rnacentral:misc_RNA from 1 species
CUACUGGGAAAAUUGAAAUAAGGUGGCGAUUUUCUCAGUUUAUUCUUUAGUUUCCAUCAAUAUAAUAUGGACAGGAUAGUGCGACAUAAUGAAGUCCAUUCAAAUUACAUAACAUUGACCUUUAGAAUAAACAUGGGACGACUUCAAUAUUAAUGUACUUUUUAAUUAGAAAAGCAAAGGUGCUCUGCUUUGACGAGUCUAAUUCAGGUCAAGCAAUACCAGUUGUGUCAUUUUUUUGGUGUAUUGUACUUGCCACAUCAUCUUGGCAUUUUCAUGCAAUAUGCUUCUGUUAAAUAUGGAAAUUGCAUUUUCAUAUGAAGAAAACAAAUUUAAUAUUGAAGUGGAUUAGGAUAAUGGAAAUUACUAUUUUAUAUGCGAACAUAGCAACAGAAUGCAUCUUCAUGGGCAAGUUUAUGAUAGAUUAAAAAUAAUCGCAGUAUGGGAAUUAUGUUGUAUGGUAGUUUAACAAGGUUCUUUUUUGAAGGAAAAUCUUGAUCUUCCAACAAAAGAAUAAGCAAUGUGUCAUAGUUGAUACGUUCUCUUAACUUUAACAGUUGUAUUUCCUUAUGUGUGUGAAGUAGAGCCAGAUGUACUCAAAAGUUAUCUAAUGCAUGUCACAUCCUAUGAAUUGUUUGAAAUGCAAGGUCUCUGCCAGACUUAUCAUU